GACGAACGCUGGCGGCGUGCUUAACACAUGCAAGUCGAACGUGAUUUUUGUGGAAAUUCUUUCGGGAAUGGAAAUGAAAUGAAAGUGGCGAACGGGUGAGUCACACGUGAGCAACCUACCUUACACAGGGGGAUAGCCGUUGGAAACGACGAUUAAUACCGCAUGAGACCACAGAAUCGCAUGUUAUAGGGGUCAAAGAUUUAUCGGUGUAAGAAGGGCUCGCGUCUGAUUAGCUAGUUGGAAGGGUAAAGGCCUACCAAGGCGACGAUCAGUAGCCGGUCUGAGAGGAUGAACGGCCACAUUGGAACUGAGGCACGGUCCAAACUCCUACGGGAGGCAGCAGUAGGGAAUAUUGCGCAAUGGGGGGAACCCUGAUGCAGCGACGCCGCGUGAGCGAAGAAGGUUUUCGAAUCGUAAAGCUCUGUCCUAUGAGAAGAUAAUGACGGUAUCAUAGGAGGAAGCCCCGGCUAAAUACGUG
rnacentral:rRNA from 1 species